rnacentral:rRNA from 1 species
CCUACGGGUGGCAGCAGUGAGGAAUAUUGGUCAAUGGGCUUACGCCUGAACCAGCCAAGUCGCGUGAGGGAAGACUGCCCUAUGGGUUGUAAACCUCUUUUGUCAGGGAGCAAUUGGCGCUACGUGUAGCGUUAUCGAGAGUACCUGAAGAAAAAGCAUCGGCUAACUCCGUGCCAGCAGCCGCGGUAAUACGGAGGAUGCGAGCGUUAUCCGGAUUUAUUGGGGUUAAAGGGUGCGUAGGCGGAAUGCCAAGUCCGCGGUAAAAUCGCGGGGCUCAACCGCGCUCCGCCGUUGAAACUGGCGUUUUGGAGUGGGCGAGAAGUAGGCGGAAGGCGUGGGGUAGGGGUGAAAGGCAUAG